rnacentral:rRNA from 1 species
UUGACGGGGCCGCACAAGCGGAGGAACAUGUGGUUUAAUUCGAUGAUACGCGAGGAACCUUACCUGGGCUAGAACGCAAUCGGAAUCAGGCCGAAAGGUCUGCGCCAGCGAUGGCCGCUUGCGAGGUGCUGCAUGGUUGUCGUCAGCUCGUGCCGUGAGGUGCGGGUUAAGUCCCAUAACGAGCGCAACCCCUACUGCUAGUUGCCAGCGGGUCAUGCCGGGGACUCUAGCGGAACUGCCAGCGUAAGCUGCGAGGAAGGUGGGGAUGACGUCAAAUCAGCACGGCCCUUACGUCCAGGGCUACACACGUGUUACAAUGGCCAGUACAGAGGGCAGCCACCCCGCGAGGGGGCGCUAAUCCUAAAAGCUGGUCCCAGUUCGGAUCGGAGUCUGCAACCCGACUCCGUGAAGCUGGAUUCGCUAGUAAUCGCGCAUCAGCCACGGCGCGGUGAAUACGUUCCCGGGCCUU